rnacentral:rRNA from 1 species
AGCAGCCGCGGUAAUUCCAGCUCCAAUAGCGUAUAUUAAGGUUGUUGCAGUUAAAAAGCUCGUAGUUGAAUUUCAGGCCUGGCUGGACGGUCCGCCCUUCGGGUGAGUACUGUCUGUGGUCGGGUCCUACCUUCUGGCGAAGCGUCAUGGCCUUAACCGGCCGUGGCGGGGAACCAGGACUUUUACUGUGAAAAAAUUAGAGUGUUCAAAGCAGGCAAUCGCUUGGAUACAUUAGCAUGGAAUAAUGGAAUAGGACAAUGGUUCUAUUUGUUGGUUUCUAGGACCGUUGUAAUGAUUAAUAGGGAUAGUUGGGGGCAUUAGUAUUCAAUUGUCAGAGGUGAAAUUCUUGGAUUUAUUGAAGACUAACUACUGCGAAAGCAUUUGCCAAGGAUGUUUUCAUUAAUCAAGAACGAAAGUUAGGGGAUCGAAGACGAUCAGAUACCGUCGUAGUCUUAACCAUAAACUAUGCCGACUAGGAAUCGGGCGAUGUUGAAAAAAUGACGC